rnacentral:rRNA from 1 species
UACAGAGGUCCCAAGCGUUGUUCGGAUUCACUGGGCGUAAAGGGCGCGUAGGCGGUCGGGUAAGUCUGAUGUGAAAUCUCACAGCUUAACUGUGAAACUGCAUUGGAUACUAUCCGGCUCGAGGAAUGGAGGGGAGACUGGAAUACUUGGUGUAGCAGUGAAAUGCGUAGAUAUCAAGUGGAACACCAGUGGCGAAGGCGAGUCUCUGGACAUUUACUGACGCUGAGGCACGAAAGCCAGGGGAGCAAACGGG